rnacentral:rRNA from 1 species
UGCGUAGGCGGCCUGUUAAGUAGGGUGUGAAAUGCCAGAGCUCAACUUUGGCAUUGCGCUCUAGACUGGCUGGCUUGAGUGAGAUAGGGGUGUGCGGAACUUCCAGUGGAGCGGUGAAAUGUGUUGAUAUUGGAAGGAACGCCGGUGGCGAAAGCGGCACACUGGGUCUUAACUGACGCUGAUGACGAAAGCCCAAGGGGGACGCGGAACG